CUUGAAGGCGUAGAAGAUGCCCACGCAGGCCGAGAAGACCAGCGUCAAGCCGAAGACGAAGUAGUCCGCCAAGGAAAAAUCUGGCCGUAUCUCAAUCCAUUAUCUGUAUUGGUCUCCAAUUGUGGCUCUUUUCACCAUUUCCUGUGAAGAUAUACAGUGAAAGGAUCUGACUUUAUGAGGUGACUGUAGCUUCUGAAUGAUGCAGACCUCCAGACAUUGAGCUGUGAUGUGUGGCUUUCUAUGUGCCUACCUAGAGACUACAGGUAACUUACCACUGGAAUUGCCAGCUGAAAAUAUGAUACGGUUCUUCUUCUGUCCUCUUCCAAAUGAUCAUUUUAAAGGUACCAGAGCCCCUGUCCUGUUGUUUCCUCUAGCAACCCUACUGCCUACACAAAUACAACUUCUACAUUGUACAGGAGGGGACUGUUAAAUAUGAAUGGCAAACAACAUCCAGGUAAGAGCCAAGCAAAAUCUAUAUAUAUAUAAAAGAGUGAUGGCAUCACGGCAAUUCACAAAACAACAAAAGUACAGGCCCCCCAACCUCAAAAUUUGACAACACAACCCAUCAUCCACGCCUCAAGGUUGAUACAACAAAAAGAAAAGAAAAAUAAAGUCCUAAUUAGAGGGAGAGCAAUAAUUUUUUUUAUCCAAUUGCUGCCAGUUUAGAGGGCUAAUCUCUGCCCACUUGGUUGCCUAGCAACCAAGGGACAGCCAGGUUUCAGUUAGGGGACAGGCAGAUUUAGGCCUCACUUAGACUUCUUCCACAGAUUAUCUAUUUUGCACUGGAUUAUAUGGCAGUGUAGACUCAAGGCCCUUCAACACAGCUAUAUAACCCAUUUAUAAUCUUAUAUUAUCUGCUUUGCACUGGAUUAUCUUGACUCCACACUACCAUAUAAUCCACUUCAGUGUGCAUUUUAUACAGCUGUGAAGAAGGGGCCUCAGAUAAUCCAGUUCUGAGCAGAUAAUAUAAGAUUAGAAAUAUACAGUAGAGUCUCACUUAUCCAACGUAAACAGGCCGGCAGGAUAAGUGAAUAUGUUGGAUAAUAAGAAGGGAUUCAGGAAAAGCCAAUUAAACAUCAAAUUAGGUAAUCGUUAUACAAAUUAAGCACCAAAACAUCAUAUUAUACAACAAAUUUGACAGAAAAAGUAGUUCCAUGCGCAGUAAUGCUAUGUAGUAUUUACAGUAGAGUCUCACUUAUCCAACACUCGCUUAUCCAACGUUCUGGAUUAUCCAACGCAUUUUUGUAGUCAAUGCUUUCAAUAUAUCGUGAUAUUUUGGUGCUAAAUUCAUAUAUACAGUAAUUACUAUAUAGCAUUACUGUGUACUGAACUACUUUUUCUGACAAAUUUCUUGUCUAACAUGAUGUUUUGGUGCUUAAUUUGUAAAAUCAUAACUUAAUUUGAUGUUUAAUAGGGUUAUCCUUAAUUCCUCAUUAUCCAACAUAUUCGCUUAUCCAACGUUCUGCCGGCCCGUUUAUGUUGGAUAAGUGAGACUCUACUGUACUGUAUUUACAAAUUUACCACUAAAAUAUCACAAUGAAUUUAAAACACUGACUACAAAAACAUUGAUUAUGAAAAGGCAGACUGCGUUGGAUAAUCCAGAACAUUGUAUAAGUGAAUGUUGGAUAAGUGAGAUUCUUCUUUAAUAUGAAAUAAUUACUGGGAUAGAAUAAUGCAGAACAAUAUAAUCUCUAAAACCAGGACAGUAAAUAAACAGGGGAAUUCCACACAGGAAACAAUCAGGGCCAGCUAACACCUCCCAACAAAGUAUUCCCAUCAUCAAAGUCUGGCAAAUCCUGUUUUCUCAGGGCCACAGACAGUAGAAGCACAUAAAAUAUCGCAAACAACAUCACUCUGAAAACAAGGGUAUUCCAGACAGGAAACAAUCAGGGCCAGCUAACACCUCCCAACAAAAAAUUCACUCAGGGAGGAAACAGCCAGGCUUUAAAGCUGCAAGGCCAUUACAUCCUAAUCAUUUUUCCUAAUUGCAGCAUUCAUACUUGCCUCCAACAAACAAAAAAACCAAUCAGAAAUAUUGUAUAUUCACAACCUUUAGGAAAUAAUAUCCCCUGAUGGCGCAGCGUGUUAAAGCACUGAACUGCUGAACUUCUGGACUGAAAGGCCACAGGUUUGAAUUGGGGGAGCGGAGAGAGCCCCCACUGUUAGCUCCAGCUUCUGCCAACCCAGAAGUUCGAAAACAUGCAAAUGUGAGUGCAUCAAUAGGUACUGCUCCGGCGGGAAGGUAACACCGCUCCAUGUAGUCAUCCAACAUGACCUUGGAGGAGUCUACGGACAACGCCGGCUCUUCGGCUUAGAAAUGGAGAUGAGCACCAACCUCCAGAGUAAGACACGACUGGACUUAAUGUCUGGGGAAAACCUUUACCCUUGACCUUAACUACCACCAAUUCCUCAAUACUUUAUUUCCCAGACCACCAUACUUUGCCACAGCAAUGCGUGGCCGGGCACAGCUAGUGUAUUAUAAAUAGAAUGUGGAGAAAGUGAAUUAAAGAUUUUACUUCACAUUUUUAGAUGCAAUUAGUCGUAAUCAUUGUGCAUUUUUAUCACAAAAAAGUAAUCAAAUAAGAGUAAAUUCCCAAACUGUACAUACUUGCUUAGGUUUCAAACAUGAAAAAUUAGACAGAAAAUCUUCUUUGGUAAGCAUGAAUUUCCGAUCCACUUUCUGUCGCAGUCCUCCUGAAAAAUAUCCAUUGGGUAAAUCAAAACCUAUUCAAAGUGUAUAGAUUAUUUUUGAAAUGGUUCUUGUUUGGGUAAUUGUUCUAUGAAUUCAGUUUCUUUUGGAAAUAAAUUACUGCCUCAGUAAAAACAAAACCCAGGAAGAAAUACCUGUCAAAAGGCUGGCUACUAUUCCAAUGAUGAUUGUGACCAGUGUUCCAAGUGUGCUGAAGUAUAGAUAGGACAAGGAAUACCAGUAAUCUGCAAGGACUGGCCUAGAGAAUUAAAAUAGAAUUUGUUAUAGUUCGCAAAUGCAGCUAACACUGGCUCUCAUUCAUGGUUUACUGUGUUAUUUUCACAGAUAUUUACUUUUAUUUUAAACCUGGGGUUUAUGAGCAAGUAUUUGGUUGUUUCUAAAUGUUUUAGCACAUUAUAUGUUUUAAUUAAUAACUUUUAAACCAAUAGCAAUAUUUUCAAUAAAGAAAACAUUUCUGAUUU